CACGUAGGGGGCGAGCGUUGUCCGGAUUUAUUGGGCGUAAAGAGCUCGUAGGCGGCUCAGUUAGUCGGGUGUGAAACCCCCGGGCUCAACCCGGGGACGCCACCCGAUACUGCUGUGGCUAGAGUCCGGUAGGGGAGCGUGGAAUUCCUGGUGUAGCGGUGAAAUGCGCAGAUAUCAGGAGGAACACCGGUGGCGAAGGCGGGUCUCUGGGCAGUAACUGACACUGAGGAGCGAAAGCGUGGGGAGCGAACAGG
rnacentral:rRNA from 1 species